rnacentral:ncRNA from 2 species
UUUUUAUACAGAGGCGUGGAGAGACAGGCUCUACGAAGCGCCGGCAACCCUCCGGAUCAUCCGGAACGGUGCCAAUUCCUGACCAUAUAAAAA